rnacentral:rRNA from 1 species
UACGUAGGUGACAAGCGUUGUCCGGAUUUACUGGGCGUAAAGAGCGCGCAGGCGGUCGUUCAAGUCGAGUGUGAAAGCCCCCGGCUCAACUGGGGAGGGUCACUCGAUACUGAUCGACUUGAAGGCAGGAGAGGGAAGUGGAAAUUCCCGGUGUAGUGGUGAAAUGCGUAGAUAUCGGGAGGAACACCAGUGGGCGAAGGCGACUUCCUGGCCUGUUCUUGACGCUGAGGCGCGAAAGCUAGGGGAGCAAACGGG